CUGAAAACCUAGCCCCCCCCCCCCCCUUUUUUUCCAAACUAAAACUAAAAUAUUCUAACAGCCCAGUAAAGAAGAUUAAAAAACUUUUAGGAGCUAUAAUCUUGUACCGCAAGGGAAGAGUGAAAUAAAAAUGAAACAAAUUAAAGCACAAAAAAGUAGAGACCCACCCUCGUACCUUUUGCAUCAUGGUUUAGCUAGUCCAACUAGGCAAAAAGACUUUAAGUCUAACCCCCCGAAACUAAGUGAGCUAUUUUAGGGCCGCUUUAUGAGCCCACCCGUCUAUGUUGCAAAAUAGUGGGGUGACCUUAAAAUAGAGGUGACAGACCUAACGAACUUAGUUAUAGCUGGUUUCUCAAGAAAAGAAUCUUAGUCCAACCUAAAGUAAAGCCAACCCCUACAAUUAACCCCCUUACUUUAGAGCAAUUCAAAUGAGGUACAGCCCAUCUGAUCCAGGAUCCAACCUUCACCAACGGGUAACAUUUAACUCACACCUGCAAGUAGGCCUAAAAGCAGCCACCUUUUAAAAAGCGUUAAAGCUUAAUCAUGUACACCCUAAUUCACGAACCCACAUCGAACCCUCUAGUCAUACUGAGAACUUCUAUAACAUUAUAGAACCUUUUAUGCUAAAACUAGUAACAAGAGGCAACACCUCUCCUCAAUGCAAGCGUAAGCCAGCAGGAACCCAUCACUGGCAAUUAACAACCCAAACAAGUAGCAACCCACCCAGAGACCCCUACUCUUUUCAUUGUCAACCUAACACCAGAGCAUUUCAAGAAAGAUUUAAAGAAAAAGAAGGAACUCGGCAAAUAUCUUAACCCCGCCUGUUUACCAAAAACAUCGCCUCUUGCCAACUAUAAGAGGUCCAGCCUGCCCAGUGACUUGUUUAACGGCCGCGGUAUCCUAACCGUGCGAAGGUAGCGUAAUCACUUGUCUUCUAAAUAAAGACCAGUAUGAAAGGCAUCACGAGGGUUAAACUGUCUCCUUUAUCUAAUCAGUUAACCUAUUCUCCCCGUGAAGAAACGGGGAUUCUCCUAUAAGACGAGAAGACCCUAUGGAGCUUAAAACAUAAUAACACCUGCCGCCCACGUAAAUAUUCAGAUACCCUACCCCUGAGCACACUGAUUAUAAGUUUUUGGUUGGGGUGACCGCGGAGAAAAACUUAUCCUCCAUGAUGAAGGGGACUCCCCCUAAACAAUAAGCUACAACUUUAUGCAUCAAAAAAUUGACAUCCUUUGACCCAAUAAAUUGACCAACGAACCAAGUUACCCUAGGGAUAACAGCGCAAUCCACUUCGAGAGCCCUUAUCGACAAGUGGGCUUACGACCUCGAUGUUGGAUCGGGAUGUCCUAGUGGUGCAGCCGCUA
rnacentral:rRNA from 1 species